rnacentral:sRNA from 1 species
UGCACAUGGGUUAGUCGAUCCUA